UUUCGCUUUUGACUGCGUCUAUCUAAAAGCAGAGUCAGCCUUUGCAAUAAGGGAGGCCCGUUUCAAAGAAACAGCUGAGGGAUCUUUUUCGAGCGCAAGCGGAGGACUCUUGUGUUGCUUUUCAACUGAAACGGGUGAAACAUAACAAAGGACAGACAAUGGAUCUUGCUGUAAAUGACCUCAAGAAAUCUCUAAACAGAUCUGGCUUGAAGGAAGUGUCUUCCCUUCAGCAAUGUCAUUUCUUACUGUUUUUCUGCCCCAUUAUUUCUCGUGCUGGAACUGACAUUGACGCUGCAGUGACGUACAUCAAUCAAGUGAAAGCUUCAUCACUGCCAGUCAUCAUGGUGGUGCUCCAUUACACUUUUGACAAAGACAAACUUACACAAGACAGCAACAGUGUUAUAAAGAGCGAGGGCAUAUCUGCAGUGGACUGUCUGUUCUAUGAAAAUGGGUUACUGAAAUGUCAGAAGAAUACGAAUGCAAUUAAUAAAAUUGCAAAGGAUUCAAAAUCAGAGGUAGGCUGAUCACAAUGCCCUUUACACAAACCUUGGGUACAGUAUGUGUUUACACAGUUAUUAACA